rnacentral:tRNA from 1 species
CGGGCCGUGGCGCAGUCUGGUAGCGCGUUUGACUGGGGGUCAAAAGGUCGCAGGUUCAAAUCCUGUCGGCCCGAC